GUGCUCUUCCUUCUUGUUAUGCUUCUCUUCCUUGUUAUGGGUUAAUUGGUUGCAUUGCUUUCUUAUUAAAGAUAAAUAUAUGACUGUAGUACCUUGGAUGUUGGAACUUGUAGUCAGUAUUAUUUUGGAACAACAUUAUCGUAGUGUUGACUGAAAUCGAGCCGGCUCCUUUUCAAUUCCAUGCUGGAGGACCUUGUUCAGAUUUGGAGGUGAUGAUAUGCAGGGAGGUUGCAGGGAUAUGCACCAUUGUCUCCAAGAAGAGGGAGCUCCAGAAGCAGGGCAUGAGUGCUUUCAUAUUGGAUGCCACUAAGAAAAUGUAGCAACGUCGCCUGCUGUUCAAGUAUUUUUCAGAAAUCCUGCACUCAUUUUCCUCUCGGCACGCGACGCAUGGUCCGCGUUCCCGCGCCACUCAAUUUUUUAUAUCUAUUUCUAUGAUUAUGAUCUUCCUAUUGCCCUUUUUGAAGCAAGUUAUCUCUGCAAAAUUUUACUUGUCAGCAAACUCAUUUAUUGAAAUCAAAUCAUCAUUGUACACUUUACAACA